AUCCAGUUGAUGAGUCUCAAAUAGGACGAAACGUACCGUCUAGAU
rnacentral:hammerhead_ribozyme from 1 species